GAUUAAAUAGCUUAAUGUAAAGCAAGCAGUCUCCAAAACUGUUAGAUUUAGGUUCAAGUCCUAAUUUUAUUACCA
rnacentral:tRNA from 1 species